CUUGAUCGAGCCGAGUCGCAGCGGCCGCUCGGCCGGCCGGUUCCGGCCGUAGGUGGCGAGCAGGGCCUGGGCCUC
rfam:Streptomyces rubellomurinus strain ATCC 31215 contig-122, whole genome shotgun sequence.